AACGCGUCUAUUUACCUCCGUUUGACAAGUUUGUCGCAACAUGCGGAUCCUAAAUCGACUUAUUUAUUCUUUUCUACGUUUUACGUUUUUGUCUAAUUGUUUCAUUAAUCAAGAACGAAAGUUGGGGCCUCGAAGACGAUCAGAUACCGUCCUAGUCUCAACCAUAAACGAUGCCGACCAGGGAUCAGUGGAUGUUGCUUUUAGGACUCCGCUGGCACCUUAUUAGAAAUGAAAGUUUUUGGGUUCUGGGGGAAGUAUGGUCGCAAGGCUGAGACUUAAAGGAAUUGACGGAAGGGCACCACCAGGAGUGGCACGAUGAUGUGUAGAGUGCACCUUGUGCACAUAGUUUGGAGCGCAA
rnacentral:ncRNA from 1 species